rnacentral:rRNA from 1 species
GACGAACGCUGGCGGCGUGCCUAAUACAUGCAAGUAGAACGCACAGUUUAUACCGUAGCUUGCUACACCAUAGACUGUGAGUUGCGAACGGGUGAGUAACGCGUAGGUAACCUGCCUGGUAGCGGGGGAUAACUAUUGGAAACGAUAGCUAAUACCGCAUAAUAUUGAUUAUUGCAUGAUAAUUGAUUGCAAGAUGCUAUUGCAUCACUACCAGAUGGACCUGCGUUGUAUUAGCUAGUAGGUGAGGUAACGGCUCACCUAGGCGACGAUACAUAGCCGAACUGAGAGGGUGAUCGGCCAAACUGGGACUGAGACACGGCCCAGACUCCUACGGGAGGCAGCAGUAGGGAAUCUUCGGCAAUGGACGAAAGUCUGACCGAGCAACGCCGCGUGAGUGAAGAAGGGUUUCGGAUCGUAAAGCUCUGUUGUAAGAGAAGAACGGGUGUGAGAGUGGAAAGUUCACACUGUGACGGUAUCUUACCAGAAAGGGACGGCUAACUACGUG